rnacentral:rRNA from 1 species
AACGCGAAGAACCUUACCUGGGCUUGAACUACUCGUGGUAAGCCGGUGGAAACAUUGGCUGACCCGCAAGGGAGCGAGCAGAGGUGCUGCAUGGUUGUCGUCAGCUCGUGUCGUGAGAUGUUGGGUUAAGUCCCGCAACGAGCGCAACCCCUAUCUCAUGUUGCUAAUCCCGUAAGGGAUGCACUCUUGAGAAACUGCCUUCGAUAAGAAGGAGGAAGGUGGGGACGACGUCAAAUCCUCAUGGCCCUUAUGUCCAGGGCUACACACGUGUUACAAUGGCCGGUACAGAGGGAAGCAAUGCCGCAAGGUGGAGCCAAACCCACAAAGCCGGCCCCAGUUCAGAUCGUGGGCUGCAACCCGCCCACGUGAAGGCGGAAUCGCUAGUAAUCGCUGAUCAGCAGGCAGCGGUGAAUACGUUCCCGGGCCUUGUACACACCGACUGUAC